rnacentral:lncRNA from 1 species
GUUGAGAAAUGUGGUCGACCUACUGCGGUCGACUGACCUAAAUCAUGGUCGAUCGGUUUGGCAUAGCUCGAAGCUGUGCCGAUCGACCGACCUGAUCAACAGGGCCAGAACCAGAAUCCGAUCGACUUUCUAUAGUUGAUCGAUUGAGAAGACUUGUCGAUCGAUCGUAGUCAACCAGCUAGAUCAAUCGGGGUAGAAGGAUCUGCUCGACUUUCUGCAAUCGAUUGGUUGAGGAAAGUGGUUGACUGACCACGAUCGACCGGCCAGAUCAAUCGAAGGAGAUCGAGAUCUGCUCGACUUUCUAUGGUUGACUGACUGAGGAAAUUGGUCGAUCGGCCAUGAUCAAUCGAUCACAUAUCCUGGUCGACCGACCCAUAACCCUAGUCGAUC